rnacentral:rRNA from 1 species
ACAGAGGGUGCGAGCGUUAAUCGGAAUAACUGGGCGUAAAGGGUGCGUAGGUGGCACGCUAAGUCAGAUGUGAAAUCCCCGGGCUUAACCUGGGAACUGCAUUUGAAACUGGCGAGCUAGAGUAGAGUAGAGGAGAGUGGAAUUUCAGGUGUAGCGGUGAAAUGCGUAGAUAUCUGAAGGAACACCAGUGGCGAAGGCGACUCUCUGGACUCAUACUGACACUGAGGCACGACAGCGUGGGGAGCGAACAGG